rnacentral:lncRNA from 1 species
CCCAAAUAAAGGAAACCCCUUGAGUAAAUGAGGGGGAUACAAAAGUUUAUGUGUGGGGGGGGUGCAUUUUCCUGGCAUGGUCCAGGUCCACUUGUAGAAUCUAUGCCACGGUGCAUUGAAGCUGUUCUGGCAGCUCGUGGUGACACAACACCUAUUUAAGACGUUUAUGUAGGCGUUUCCUUUAUUUUGACAAUUACCUGUAUUUGAUCAAAUUUUAACCAGUUAUUUUUUUUUUUUUUAACUAUUGAUCCUCUGCGACUAAAUUAUGUUCUCUGGUGUAUUUUGAACAUUGAGAGCACGCUCCUGUGAUUGGAUAGAUUUUAUUUUUUUAUUUUUUUAAUAACUCAAUAUUUUUUAUUUUUUGCCUCUUGGGCCCAGCCCCCUGACUCACACAAUUAUUUAUUAUGCAGUUUAUUUUAUUAAUCAGUUACACAAUCAAGGCAGGGCCCCCCCCCCCCAGUUACCCACGUGGACGCCCCUGCCUCUUCUUCUUCUCUCCCUCGUCUGAUAAUUAGCAGAGCGGCAGCAGGCUGUCUAAAACUCAUUGACAGCAGGCUCCUGAAUCCUCCUGUCGUUGGCGGUUGCAGUAAAAAAUAUCUCUAUCUAAUAUAUAUAUAUACUGUAUAUAAGUGUCUUGGGGGGGGGCCCCACACGGGCCUGGGCCCAGGGGCUUCAGCCCCGGUAAGCCCCUGCAUUAAUCUGGCCCUGUAUGUAGGGAUUAGGUUGCCAUUUGAGACAAUUGUGUCUGCAAUGUGCAAAGUGUCUUUUUAAUUUCCAUAUUACUGCUUUAAAUUUACUAUAAUACAAACAUCAACAACCUGUUUGAACAUAUUAGCCAUAAGGUCUAAACAACAACAACCUGUUUGAGCCAUAAGGCCUAAAUAAUGUUCCAUAUUUAAAAAUGACUAUUCAUCUCUUUAAAAAAAAAAAUGUUUUCUAAUGUAUUUGACUUUAAUCAACAUUAUAGUUUAAUGCACAUUUUAAGGUUCACUCUUUGUAUAUCUGUCUGGGAUGAGUUGACGAGUCCUUGUCCCAAACGGUCCCUUGUGUACUACUUGAGACCAGGGCCCUAUUUUGGGUUCACUAUAAGGAAUAGGCCAGGGUGCCACUUGGGACUCAUAUUUUAUAAAGAGGUUAGGAACUUAUUACAUGUAUUAAUAUGAAUUGACCCGUCUGUCCCCAACCAACAAUCCUGCGCCUGCUUGUUCAGAAACCAAUCUAUUGAUUACAGUCUAUUGCUCAACACAUGGACGAGACUAAACACUUCUAUUAGCUUCUGACAUCACUUCCCUUUUUUUGGGGGGGGAAAGAGAAAUAACUAUAUUGUUGUGAUGUUUUGGGAGGCGGCAGCACACCGUGUGGUUACUGACUGUUCUACUGAACCCAACAGAACAGUGGCUGUAGGUGUAAUGUAUUAUUCAUAUGGGUUUUUUUUCUUCUAUUUGGCUCCUGUAAAUAUGUGAAGAGUUUGAAUGGCUUAUUAUAACUGGGUGUUUUGAAACGGGUUUAUAUAUCAACUUCUUGAUGUAAAAUAAUAAAACACAUGUUGUUAAACUGGUAUAA